rnacentral:lncRNA from 1 species
UCGAUUGCCGGCAGUGCUUUCUGUUUGAGUGAACAGCAAGCAAGUUUUCUUUUAACUUGAUAGUAUGAUGUGUAUACAGGAGUAAUAAAUAGUUAUUGUUUGUAUAUUUAACACCUUAGUUCCAACUUUCCAUCCAUUUUAUUCUCGUGUGUUGAGUUGAGAGAAAGAAAAGGUAGAGAUUUUUUUCUGUUUUUUGGGUUUGGAAGAUGGGUUCCUUAACAUCAUUACCGGAAGUGGUUUUUGGGGUUUGAUCUGAUUGCUUUGGCUCUUGCUGUUACUGCUGAACAGAGAAGGAACACUAUAAGUUUUUCUUCUUUUGCCUUUGCUUUGUUUUUUUAGAGAAAGCAUUUUUUUUCUUCUUCUUCUUGUAGCUUUUUAAAUUGGUGUUUCUAGGAGUUGUUGUUAUAGUUGUGGUGGAGGUGGAGGUGGAUUAUGAGUUUUGCUUUGUGGGUUGUAGAGAUACGAGGGUUUUUGUUAAACUGGUUGUGCAAAAAUUAGAAAGUUGUUGGCUUUUCCACUUUUAGGUUUCUUUAAAUGCCUGGUUGGUUUUGUUUCUUGAGUCUGGUUGGUUUUGCUUGACAAUUGUUAAUUUAUGUGGUGAUAUCUUGUAGUGUUUGGUCUGUGAAAUUUGUGAGCUUUGUGCAAACAAGAACUUUGAAGGAGGGCAAAGAAAUUAAGGAAAAGAGAAAUUUCUUGUGCAAACAAGAAAUAUCUUGUAGUUUUCUUUACUAGAUUUGGUGUUUAAGUCCUUUGUGGGAAUUAUUUAUGUUUCUGUAUGAGUGCGUGUGAUCUUAAGAGAGAUAAAACACUUGACCUUUUCCUCCUUGGUCCGGAGAAAUUUAAAGAAUUUAUCAUCCGAAAUAUACAGAAAUCAGUAAUGAAUGCUACGGUCUCUUCCCUGCCAUUGCUUAUGUUGAGUGUUUUGUUUAUUUCUAAGAGCUAGCUGCCUUUUGAUUUGAGUGUUAGGUUAAGCAUGUCACUGAAAGUAUAUAAAGAUGACAUUUGCCUGGUAAAACUACACGGAAAACUGUAUUUGGAGCAUAUUGAUUUCAGGUUAGCAAAUGCUGUGUCAUUCACUGGUAAUUAACCAGCAAGACAUUAAAGACCUUGGUCUAUGAACAAUUGCAUGGAGUCAAUCUCUUGGAAUGCUUUUAUGCGUGCUGGUUAAAGGGCCUUUGGCUUCCAUAUAUGGAUACUGGGUAUUAAGAACUUAGUAUUCAUGCAUGUGAGCUGCUGUAAUUGGGUUGUUCUGUGCUUGUUAUAAACUUGUAGGUUCAUGAGUCUGAUGUUCUGUUAGUGAUGGAUGACCAAGUAUCUGACCAAAUAGUUAAAUCCCUUCUUGAUUGAGUACAUCAUUUAGUAAUUUGUUCUUUUCCCUUCAUGAUUCGUAGGUAAGUAAGAUUAACGUGAGUUUGCACCUGCCAAAAUCUGGUACUCGUUCCACCACAGAAAAUGGUCAAUUGCAGACAAUUUCUGAUGGACCAAUUUGAACCUAUCCUUCUCUUCUUUUACAGUUAACAACUGAAAAAAUAGGAAACGACAACUAUCGUCACUAUGAUUCAGACAUUGCAACUGGCUUAGGAGUCAGUGCACUCCUGUUCCUUAUGGCUAGUCAACUGCUAAUAGUGGUGGGCUGGUCGAUGCUUGUGUUGUGGGAAGGCUACGAGACCUAGUGGGUCUAGAGCACGAGCGAUUGUCCCUAUUUAUCACCUUCUGGUUUGUGCUUUAGCAAACCUUUUCUUAACCUUAAUAUUGCUUUCCAAACCUUGUCCAAGAAAAAAAGAAGAGAGGUGCUAUUUUCUAUUUUCGCUAAUUUGAGCAACGCAUUCUUGUACCAGGGUAUUCUUCUUUAUUGCUGAGGUCUGCUUGCUGGCAGCCUCUGCUCGUAAUGCCUACCACACCAAGUACUUGUCAGAUCCUUCUCACUCUUGCCAGAAGGUGAGGAAGGGAGUCUUCUGGGCCGGAGCUGCAUUUGUUGUCUUGACUAGCGUUGUAUCCGAGCUUUACUAUGUUAGCUAUUCCAAGGCUAAUGAUGGACAACUUUCUUAUAACGGAGACACUGGUACAAGGACGGGGAAUCUAUAACCUGAGCUGAUUUGGAACUUCUGAAAGUAUUGAGUUUGUCUCUGUUUAGUUGGCCUGCAUGUUGUGAUCAUGGACAAUCAAGUGUUAACAUACGUAUAUUAUGCCAGAUUGAUUUUGAUUAAGUACAAAUUAACUUUGUAGUCUGGUUUUAUAUUUCAUUUAUUUCUUGUUCGUCAGUUUCUUCGUUAAAGCUGCUCUUGUUCAUCAUCUUUUUGUCUUUUUGAUACACUAGGAUUUAACUUAUAUAUCUCAAAGAAUGAGCAGUAUGGUUAUAAACAACAGUGUUUCUUGGAGAUUAUUUCUACUCUCAUUAUAAGAUAUAACUGCUGAUCAUAAACCAGAAAUCAGCAGUUCUGUUCUCUUUCUUCAGAUAAAGACAUCAAUUUUUUUUUUCAGGUGAAGACAAGCAUCAUUUUCGGUUAAUAUUGACUAAUAAAAUGUGUCCUGUAUCUUUCGAAAAUUUGAUUUUGUCCAAAAUAAAGCUUUCCUGGAAGCCAAAUGCUUUGCAAGCUUUUAGCCUCCAUGUCAAUUCUUUCAUUCAAAAUUUGGUGGCUGAUAUUCCAGAUCAGGUUCGACCCCAUGGUUAUUUGGCCUCUUGCUUUUUAAUGGACCCGAAAAAUUGGACGUAACGUAUGCAGAACACGUGCACCAGCCAAUGAACACAUUUGAUCACCGCAACCAGCAUAAGCCCCACAAGGUAGAAGAAACAAUAACCUGUCAUUGAGAGUUGAGACAUCACUUCUGUUUCUAACCAUAGAAAGUGCUUGGCAUAAUUUCCCAGAAAGAUCAAGUUUGUGAUUGAACAAGUUGAGUAAUACUUUCCUUUUUUUCCUACUUGUAGCAUCAAUAACACCACUUGGAAAGAAGCUGAAAUAUAAUUAUCUAAUUAGAUGCAUUUGUCGACUUGUCCAAGAACCCUCCCCCAGAAUCAGAAUAUACGAAAAAAUUUCAUUAGAUGAACAAUCCAUCAUUAAAUGAAACUUCAUUUUAUUUGAAUUUGUUUGCAAAGAUCAUAAAAUAAAAACAUCCUUUCUAUUUUAGUACUUGGAGAAGGAUUGCUGCCGUCAGGGCUCUAACUAGAGGUGUAAGUGGGAGCCACGGUCUUCUCGAAGUUCAAAAUGAUCUCUGAAGUUUAAUAGUUAUUUCAUAUAGGUUUUAUCUAAUUUAUUUUUCUAUAAAAUAGCUCAUUCUAAUUUAAAAAGAGAGAGUUAUAUUUUAGUCCAAAAUCAAUCAUUAUUAUAUACAUUUUCUUAUGUGUAGAAUAUUUUUUUAUAUCAAUAUGUUUUACUGUUCUUCCAAUCUAAAUUCCCCACUAGCUGCCAAGAGAAUUUCAAUGUUCAAGGGGCAUGCAUGCUAGUUAACCAAGAUUUUCAGGCUUUCUGGUCAUCAAUUCUGACCUUUAUUUUAGCAGUUCAGUGCUGCUAUAAUCCAUAAUCAACGCCAACGGUCUUUAAAGAUAGAAGAAAACAAGCCUUUGGACUAAUUAUAGCCUAAACUUGCACAGAUUCUGCCCAACUACAGUGCCGAGGGGAUAAGAACAAGCAUUCUGGACAAUUUACAUUAACAUAUAAUAACAGCCAUCAAGUGCCCAGAUAUGUUUUAAGGAUUUAAGAGAAUCAUGCAGAACUCGUCAUGAGAAUUCUAAAAUGCUCGAAACUCACUGCAAAAAGUACUUUCCAUCAGGAAUAUCUGUCAGGAAUAAAAAAGUAGAAAGAUUCCUGAACAAGUGGUGAGAAAACAAAUCCAUAUAUCCAAAGAAAUAUACAUACCCAGAAGAAUCUUCCAUCACAUCUACUUAAUAGCCUAGCCAAUAGCUGGAGAAGACCCCAUCACUCAUCUCUCAACUUAGAUACCUUCUCUAUCACAAUGUGAACCCUAACCCCUUAAACCUACUUCAUACGGAAACUUUUCCUUUAGAAUUGAAACAGAUGGAGGUAAGAUAAAGAGAGAAAAUGACAGCAAAAAUGGACACCUUAUACUAUAGCCUGAAGCUGAAACUGGAAAAAAAUAAAAAACCGGUGUGGGGGGAGAGACCGUUUGAAACAGUCUACUUCUAACUAUAAUAGUUACCUCAUUAAUAUAGGAUUGUGAUUCUUACAAAUGAGACUGGCCCUUCACAUAAAAACAUUCAAGUACUUGAAAAAAAAAAAAAACUGAGAAAGAAAGGAUUUAUACACACUUCUAAUAAGGUUAAUAAAGACCUGGGCUAUGGUUUGAUUUCAGAAUCAUCCCAUGGUACAUUGAGAUCAGCAGAGACGUAAUUCUCUAUAUCAUCCCAAUUCCAGUAAUUUGUCAUGUCCAUUCCACUGCUUGUAUUUGGCACUUGCAAUGAAUGAGUGAUGGUGCUGCUUGUGGGAGGCAUGGUGGUGGUGAUGGUUGAGUCCUCCAUAGAUUCUCCAGUGUAGUUAUAAACAUUUGAGGGCUGAAAGGAGGUGCAAAUUGAAGAUGGAUGUGUGUCAAAAGAACUUGAAUAAGGAAACAGUAAGCCUUGAUUUUGAGGUAUAGACACAGAUGAACCCAAAAGGACACCAUUGUUGUUGACGUUGAAACUUUUGGUGUCAAAGUUGUUGCAGCUGAUUGAAUUCUGUUGCAAAACUGAAGAUGGUGGAUUGAUCAUUGCUUGAUACAGAAUUUCAGAUAAAUCCUUUUGACCACCAAGUACAAGAUCGGGAAGAUUCUGCUUUUGCUGCUGAGCUUGAAUUGCCAACUGGGGAUUAACCCAAUUAGUCAUAUUGGUCGCGCUAUUAUUGUUGCUUGGAGCAGUGGUGCUUGCAGUAGUGCUUGAAGAGGUGGUGGUGUUGGAACUUGUUUUUGAUGUUUUCUGCCUCUUGUUUUUGCGGCCGCCACCAACAGGAACAUUUCGGAGAUUGCCGCCUUUUGUCCAGUGUCUCUUGCAAGACUUGCAAAAAUGCCUAGGCUGUGACUUGUUAUAGUUGUUGUAAUAACAAAACUUUGUGUUUGUCGACUCACACCUUGGACACUUCAAGGGCUCGAAUUGCAGCUGGUUUUGUUGCUGCUGCCUCCUUAUUACAGGAGGUUUAGGCAGCUCCAAAGUAUGAGCCUGCAAAAGGGUCUGGCUCCAAUCUAGCCCAUCACCAGUAACCUGCUUAGAACUCAACCCCAUCUCUUAAAACACCACAAGAUUAACAACUAAAUAACAACCAAGAGAGUGAGAGGAAGCAAAUUUUCUCUAUUUUCAGACAGAAACAAAGCAAACAAAUUCUAACUGGCUAGCCCUUGGACCUUGGAGCAAGAAGAGAAAUCAAUAUGAAGAAUAACAAGAGGAUGAGGUUGAUCCUUGUGAGGCGAACAGUGAAAUAUUGCUCAAGUGAAAUCGGUGAUAUAAUUGAGUGAAAUGUUGCUAGGAAAUGGGUAGGAAGGUGAUGAGAAGUGAGCAUGUCUAUUCGAGUCACUAUCUAUCUUAUUAGUAUAGUCUCCUCCCUAAAUACCAGUCUAUAUUAAACUACUGUUCCAGGGAAAUUAAUGACGAUAACAAGAACUUGAGAAGAUCAAGCUUACUCAAGCUACCUAGCUUCUUUGUGGUCUCAGAAAUUCUAGAUUGAUAUACUCAGCACCCUUCCCUUACAUCUCCACACAAUUUAAUAUAUAUAUAUAUAUAGAGAGAGGGAGAGGGAGAGGGAGAGGGAGAGGGAUGCUAUAUUGCUAUAUAUUUACUUAGUCCUUAAGGUGGUGGCGGGUUCUUGACACGUGGGUGUUUACAGGCCCUUGAUAGUGCCUUGAAUGCAUGAGUUGUAAAGAGGACGUAGAUGUUUCUUGCUGCUUCAUGCUAUAAUUUAGAAGUCUGUGGGGGGCGGUAAGCUAACGCACGCACAAGAAUAUAGUUGGAAAAUUGUUAUGAAAUGAAACUACACUACCAUUGUGCGGUCUUCUCAUGUCUCUGUCCCAUCCCAUUUCUGUAAUCAAGAUAUUUAGGCACAACUUUUUCCAUGUUAAAAUUAAGUUUUUGCUCAAUCAACUCAUAAACAAGAUCAUUCAUGGAUCAUGAAGAACUUAAUUAGUUUUUGCAAUUUCAUUUUUUUAGAUUUGAAUUCAAAAUGAAUACGAGUAAGAAGAAAAUGAUCUAUCACUUGAAUCUGCUCUGCAAAAUCUAAGAUUGUUGCUUAUCAAAGCAAACCAAAAGGAAGCAAAGGGUGGUUCUUGUCAAUUAUGGAUGGAGAUCAUAAUGGGAUGAGUUCGGACAUAUAUUAUAUGAUCUUGUCGGAUCUAAAACCCUUUUAAAUUUAGCACUGAGGUAUGUAUAGCAAAAAUAUUAUCACGUAGAAAAAAACUUGAUUAAAAAAAAAAACUUAAAAACCAUUGGUGUUUUAUUAUGAUCCUAAACAUAUUAUACUAUUUAUUAAAACAAUAUAAUAAUAACACUUUUAACCUUUUAAAAAACCGACAAAGCUUGCAAUUGAGGGUAAGAUUGUAUUUUUAAUAAGAUAUAUUGGAUAUUACAUAAUUGAUGGAGGAUAAAUUAGUUAACACAUAUUUUUUUUAAUAUGAUGAAAUGUUAAAGAAAAAAAAUAUAUAACUUUGGUCCAAGAGCUUUUUUUAUCUUUUUAUUAUUAUUUGCAAAUUAAAAUUUAAGCAAUACUCUUUAAAGCAAAAAAUAAUUAAACUUAGCUUUUAUAUCUUUUUAUUUUUUAAGAACAUUGAAGUAACAAGAUUGUCUUUUAAAAAAACACAUAACCAUGGUUUCAAGGGUAACCUCAGUCUCAUGAUCUGAGACAAUUAUUUAAAGUAUUAGCCCGGUUUAAGUUCGGUUUAUUUUUAGAUUCUUUAUUAAAAAUUGAUUUUUUUCAACUCAUGAUUUGAUAUUGGGUUAUUACGUCUUGAGCUUUGUAGGUUUAUUUCGAUUUCAUAUCACAGGUGACGGGUUAAUCGAGUUAACCAAGGAUGACUCAGUUUUUUUUCUCAAUGUCUCCUUUUAAGAAAUUGAUUUUUUUUCCGAUUCCAUCCGUUAGCAUUAAGUUAUUGACCUUUGAGCUUUAUAAUUUUUCUAUUUUUUUUUUCUGCGGGGUUAUUCUAAGUGCGAGUUAGUCAAGUUAACUCGAGUUUUUUCAUAUUUUUUUACUUAAAUUCAACCUUUUUUGCUAGGUCUCUUUUUUUUUAAAAUCUUGUUUUUUUUCUCUCGAUCUCAUAUCAUGGGUUAGUCAAGUUAACCCUUGGUUACUCUGGGUUUUUUCUUCGACAUUAUAUUUUUUAAAAUUAAUUUUUUUUCAAUUUCAUCAUUUGAUAAUAGGUUUUUGGGUCUUUUGCUUUGUGAUUUUUUUCUCUUUAUUUUAUGCGGGGUUAUCUCGAUCUUAUAUCUCGAGUCGCUUGUUAGUCAAGUUAACCUAGAUGACUCGAGUUAUCAUCGCUUGAACAAUUUUUUUUUGUUAGGAAGAAUUUAACCCAACCCGUGGCUUAACACAGACCUCCUAUCUAGUAUAUGAUAAUGAUGAUGAUGGAUAUAUUAGAAACUUAUUUGUUAGUGCGGUAGCUUCCAUUUUUAAGUGCUUUUUAAAAAUGUGUUUGUCUUUAAAAAAGUUAAAUUGAUGGUUUUUGUAAUAUUUUUUGAUGAUUUUGAUGUAAAAAAAAAUUUAAACAAAUAUAUUUUAAUUUAUUUUCAAGAAAAAACCACUAUUAAAAAAUAUAUUACAUGUCAAAUACCAAACACGCAUUAAAUACAAAAUAAAAGCAGUGUUAUUUAUGGAGUUCGGUCUACCAGGUCAAGAGACAUUAAGACUAUGGAUUAAAGGAGCAAAAACCUGCUCGUUUCUCAUGCUACAUCAGAUCAAGGGUUUCUCAACGAGCAAACUGGGCAUCCACUGCCAUGGAUCCAUAACUUGAUGAAUUAAAUAGUAGGGUAACAAACAAUUGCCAUCAAUCACGUGAUAAUAUAUAUAUACCUCAAGGAUGUUUCAUGCCCAGCAGCAUAAGUUGAUCUGAAGAUGUUCUAUAUAAUGGAAUAAAAAAUAUAUAUUAACGAGCUUCUAAUUUAAUGAUGAUGAGUUCCUUUCAUUUAAGAAAAUUACUAAUUUAAAUCUUAUUUCCAGAGUAUUUAAGCUUAAAAUAUAGUAUUAAUUGUAAGAGGUCGCCAAAGAAGGAUACUAGCUGCUGCUUGUUACGAUUUGGUAUCGGAGUUGUUGGAUACCAUAUUUGUAUCGGAGUUGUUGGAUCAUCAGUACAUAGAUGAUCAAUUACCACUGAUGAUCAGGUGGAUUACAAAGUAACUCAAUUUGGAAGUUUACUUCAACCUAUUUGAGAGUCAAGUAGCUUUCGUGUAAACAGUCAACUAGAUCUUUUUUUUUUUUCAUUUUCAAUUUUUUCUCAUUUAUAUCCUUUUACAGCUUAAUUAGAAGAGAUUAAGCUCAAAAUUAUACUUGAAAUUAUAAUUUUAAAGAUAAAAAACUAACAUGUAAUUAAAACACAUAAAAAAUAUAUGGCUAACCACACAUUAACGACAAUUUUUAUUUUACUUCAAAAAUUUAUUUUCUUUAUUGUUCAUUUCAUGGGCUACAAAAAAAAUAGAGAAACUUGCUUGAAAAUGACAAGGAAAGAGAGAGUGGUUGGUAGAUAUCGAUUUUGACCAAAAAAAAUCUAUUUUAUUAUUAAAUGAUUCUAUUUGACAAGAGAAGUUUCAUGAUGAGGAUAUUCUUUAAUCUUCAACUUGUAUGAUAUGGUAGUUUUGGACUUAGGAGGUUUUAUCAAUUUAGUUUGAUUUUUUUUCAAUUUUGUUUUAGAUUAUUUUAUAUGGGUGAAUGACCAUAAAAAAUAAUAAUAUUGGCUUAAGCACGAGGUGCUGUCUUUAUCUUAGGCUCGUACAUGCAUGUUAUUUUCUUAUUAGCUCUCUGGAGCUUUAUUUUUUUAUUUUUUUAAUUUAAUGUUGUAUUUUAUCAUUUAUUGUAAAUUAAUUAUUAUUUUUUUUUAUCACAUGUUGCGAAGGAAAUGAGAGAAUUAUAUCUAACUAGGUGGCCGUCACAUACAAUUAGGACCACGAGGGCCACAUGUAUAUGAUUAAGCCACGAACAAGGCAUAAAAAAUUAGUAAGCUCAAGCUUAUCUGAACAAAAUCAAACCUUUAUUGAAUGUUUUUUUAAGGGAAUGUGAAUAAAUAGAAAUCAAAUACAUGGUCGGUUGGUUAGGUAAAGUGACUUUGUAUGGGCAUUUCCACGUACAUCAUCAGAAAUGACAAACCAGAAUGUCUGUCGAACAAUUUAGAAAGUGACAUGCCAUUGCUAGCUUAGCUUAGCUUAAUAAUGAAUCAUGCUCCAUAUGAACUGGUCUAAUCCGCCCAGCUGAGAGGCUAAUUAAAAACAUUUCUUAUUAAUUAAUACUAAGCUCAUCCUGACUGAUCAUGUCAAGAAUUUAUUAUGAUUUCAAGUCUCGAACAACCACCUCCUGGGUGGCUCUACGUGGAUAGUGAGCUCACUAGCAUGUUAUCUUUCGAAAUUAGACGGUGUCAUGAUGAAGAAUUUUUCUCCGAAUAAUUGUUUAUAGUUUAAUUAACUUGAUCGCGACAUGAUUAAAAAAAUCUGGAUUUGAAGUUCGGUGGCUAUCGUAUUUCCUAUGUUGUUUAAUUUUAAAUUAUUUUUUUAUAUAUAUUUAGAUAUUUUAAUAAGUUGAUAUAAAAAAUAAUUUAAAAAAUAAAAAAUAUUAUUUUGAUAUAAUUUUAAUAAAAAAAAACUUUAAAAAACAACAAUUACUAUAUUCUCGAGUAUUCUUUUACUAUCAUUGUCAUUAACCAACUAAAUAUGAUAAAUUUAAUGUGAGAUAUAAUGAUCCGAAGAUUGUCAUUGGAUUUGUGGCUGCAUCAAGGGCCUAUCCGGUUGGACCACUCGUGGAAUUCCAGGGUAGAUCGACCGUGGAUUCUCAAGGUUGGUGUGCUUGAAUGGUCAAUUCCCUUGCGUUUGUUCUUGGAAUUGAUAAAUCUAGAUGUUACAUCAUGGCUUAUGACCAUUAUAAAGGAUCAUCACAACAUGGCAAGCAAUAUUCCACAUGAUCAGAACAAUAGAUUCAUCCAAAUUCGACAUCGAGCUAGGUAGGUUUGACAAAAUGGUUUAUGAUCUCAUAAAAUCAGCAUUUGAAUAUCAGAGCUAAUCAGUGAAAAUAUAUGUAUACAACAGUUUGUACGAAACGGGUCGUGGUGAUAAUUAGGAUGUAGGGUUAAAAAUUCCUUACGUUGCCUAAUAGAGAUUUAGUCUAGUACAGUGAUAAAUAAUUUAUUUUUCUUCUAGGGUUUCCAUUUGAAAGUUUCAGGUUAAAAUCCCCAGAAGGAUGAGAAUGGAGAUUUACAAAUGAACAAGUUCAUACUCAUUUUGAAAAAAUAAAAACAAAGGUUAUAAAGAAUGGUUUGCAAUCAUGAAUUCUUGAGUUUUACUAUUUUUUCAAAGUGUUUUUAAAUUAUUUUUUUACUUAAAAUUAAAAAAUAUUAAAAUUAGAGUUUUAUUAUAUGUUUUUAGAUAAUUUUAAUAUAUUAAUAUAAAAAAAUCAUUCUAAUAUAUUUUCAAUCAAAAAUCAUUUUAUAUCAUAAUAUCAAACACAAAAUCAACAAAAGUUGUCGUAUUGAAUAAAGAAAACAUGAACCAAUUUAAGACACAAUUGUCAUUAUAUAUAGAUGCAUGCAUCUAUGCAUUACUUAAACCAUGUACUCGUGCAGUCAGUCAUGAAAUUGUUUUGAUUUCUUCCAUGAAAGAACCAAAAAGCAGCUGCUGAUAACAGCUCUAGCUAGCCUUAUCAGAAUUAUUCCUCUGUGGAAUUGUUCUGUAAAGCUUUGUUCUUUUCGAAUUGGAGACUUUGAACACGAUGCUGAUAAUUAAUUUCUCCAACAAUUCUUAGUGGGAAUAUCUGGCUAGACUUAGGCUUUGAUUCAGAUAGCAGAAGUUGCUGAGAAAAUAACUCAUGAAGGAAGAAUAUGAAUGGCUUUAUGAAGAAUAUUUUUUGACUAUUCUAAAUUAUUUGUGAUAGAAACCUAACCAAGCUAUCAGUUUAGUUUCAUGCGGACCAUGCAAUCAGCUAUCCUUAGAUAUACACUUACUAGUUAGUGUCAGAUCGUAUAUCAUAAAAAAGAUUCUUUGAAUUAAGCAUUUGUUUGGUAUUGGAUUAUUGAUUGUUUUUUAAGUAUUUUUUAUUUAAAAAUAUAUUGAAAUAAUAUUUUUUUUAUUUUAUUUUUCACAUCAAAACUAUAUGAAAAUAUAUAAAAAAAAUUAUUCUCAAACAAAUAAAUUUAUUUUUGUUUUAUCAAAAUUGCUUUUAUAAUGCAAAAUCAAACAAGCUAUAAAUGUUUAGAUUAAAAUAGUUUUUUUUUUACAAUAUUAAAUUUUAUUUGAGAUUUUAUUUAAGUAAAUAUGUUAGAAAAUAAUAUAAUUUUUUUUUAAAAUUUUAUCUAAUAAUUGAUUGAAAUGAUUCUUUCAUAAUUAGGUGAUGAUAAUGAUUUUUUACGGGGUGUUUGAGAGUAUCAUAAUAGUUGUUUUUCAAAGUAUUUUUAUUUAGAAAUAUAUUAAAAUAAUAUUUUUUUAUUUUAAAAAAAUUAUUUUUGAUAAACACAUUAUUAUCAAAAUAAUGUAAAAUUAUUAAAAAAUAUUAAUUUAAAAUUAAAAAGAAGUAAAUAAUUUUUUUAAAAAACACUUUUUUAAGACGCAGCAAACCGUUACUUAAUUUCUUUCUCUACGCGUGUGAAUAUCAUAUCAUAUAAUAUCAUGUCAUGUCCAGAAGUUUGCCUCGAAAACUUAAAUCGAAGGAAUAUUCACUGCAGCAUUUGGAACAUUCAGACUCAUCAUCAAUGAAUCUGAUUAAGUUGACGAAAAUGUAAGAGAUGACAGCCCAAGUCCAUCAAGCUUGUCAAGAAUGAUGCUUCAAAUCAAGGGCACCGCACAGAUUAUGCACAAAAUGACCAUUUUUAGUGGUGAGCACAGGAGGACCGUCUCGUCCUCUACAUAGCCAGACACACAGAAUCUGUUCAUGAAAUUAUUAUUGUUAUCCACUCAUACCCUUCCAAAUGCGGCUGCGAAUUGCUGUGGAGGAGGUGAUGGUGGUGGGUCAGUCUGGGGAGGGAGGCAAGGGACGGGAAGAAGCAAGGAAUAUGAUUAAAGUGCGGUGAGUAGUCAUGCUGCAUGGACGUCUAGCUGAAAGCUUAGAUUUUGGUGUCACCAACAGGUACAAGUGCCAAGUAUUAGAUUCUUUGUUCACUGAGAAAACUUAGUGCCAAAGGAGGAGGGUCGCUUUCAUGGGCUGCUGUGUGGUGUUUUUUUUUUUUGCUGUGUGAAGUGUCAAAUAUGAGGCAUAGCCACAAGGCCGUGUGUAGGAUCAUUGCUUUACUGUUAUUUGUACCUUCGUCUUUGUUUGAAUCAUGGAUUUUAUGACAUUUCAUUUUCUUCCCCACCUUUUUUUUUUUAAUCUUCUUUUGUUACAUGGGAUUGAUUGGCUCCCAAGUCAAGUGGUGGUGGCCGAUACAGAAACCAAGACAUGCACAUCUUCGUGGAUUUCCUUUUGGGAUGAAAUGGUAUUGAUUAACACUUCUUCUGUUAAUAUAUAUAUAUAUAUAUAUAUAUAUAUAUAUAUAUAUAAAGUUGUGUGUGGAAUCCAUUAUUUGUACGACUAUUUGGGCCCCAUAUAGCGGUUUAUAAAAUUUUGAUUUUUUUAUUUAAAAUUUUGAUUUUUUUAUUUUUAGAUAAAAAAGGCAUUUGAGUUCCAUGAUUUAUUAUUAUUUUUACAAUCGCAUGAUUAGCGAGUUGAUAGUUCAUACUGUUCUCUCGUUGCUUAACAGGGAAGUAGCUUUUAUGCUACGAGCUAUCAUGGAGGAUUAUGAGAGUGCCUGUUUUAAACUAAAUUAUAUAUAUGAAAAUAAAUUUAUGAUUUGAAUUCAAUUAUAAUAAAUUUAUGUAUUUCAUUUUAUUAUAAAAAGUAUUUUUUAUUUAAUUACAAGGACCCUUAUAUUUACCACUUCUUUAACUACCAUCCCUAUAAUAUUUUAAAAACUUAUAUAUGAUUUAAUCUAAACAAAACAAAGACUUUGGUUAAAUUGAAAUUUACAAGUUCUAAGUAGUCAAGAUGCUUACUGUUCAAAAACAGGUUGGGUUGUGGUCCUCUCUGUACCAUUUUCUCUUUAUGCCGAGUAGCGGAAAUCGAAUUCUAACACUCCUCUUUUUUCGUUCCUAUUUAAAUAAUCUGGAAGGGAUGAAUACUCUCAUACAAGCAAGCUUACGUAAGCCUGCUAGUUCUAUUCAUAUUUUGACAGUAGAGGUAGAGAGCCACACUAGAAGAUACUGAAUGAGACCGGGAGUUGAUUUUUUUUACACAAUAAAGGUUGUUAUCAAGGAAUCCUUUCACCAAUCAAAACAUAGCUCCAUCCGUUUCUCCUGGUUUUAGCCUCUUGGAAGCUAGCUAGCUUCCAUUGCCAUCCCCUUCUUUUAAGGAUUCCGUGGAUAAUUUUCUACUUGUCUAUUUAGAGAGGUUCUCACGUACUGAUAUUUUAACCAUAACUCCAAGUGGUAAUCAGAGAAAUCAAGAGCAUAGGUUGAGAUUGAUUGCAUGGUAAAACAAGUGGGCAUUGCUGGUGGCUCUUCAUAUUAUAUCAAGACCCAUACAACAAUGCUGAGAAUUCAUGAAAUCAUCUCAUGCAAGUGCAGAAUUAACCAGAAUAUGCUUAUAAUUAAUUCCCUCAAGACUGUUGAUCUCCAUUUCUAAUAAAUAGCCUAAUAAGCAUAACCACCUUAGAAUUUGAAAUCCUUUUUCUUCGAUUUCCCAUCCUUUUCCUGCAUCUUACGCUUCCUCUUCUUCUCAUUCUGCAAAAAGAUUAAAAACAGUAAAGAUCUCAAUACCGUAAAUUAUUAAUGGCGAUCAAGGCCACCUCUCAAGUUUUAGGCAUAUCUGGAAUGAGAGGUCUAGCCAGCCACUCCAAUUAAAUCAUUAACUAGUUUUAUCUGAAAAACAAAGAUCAUAUCAUUAAUUUGAUAAACAAGUAAAUGGCAAACCUCUGCAACCAUGUCACUGAAAUCCUCUCGCUGACUACGUAGCUUCUCCUCCUCUCUUGCUUCCUCAUAUCUGUCAAAUGCACCAAAGUUAGAAACCAAUCUUACAUAACAUUCAUGAUUUGACGACAAACAUUUACAAGAGUUCCACUUACUUCGAAGGCAAGACAUUAUCCAUAACUUCCAAUUCUUCAGGUAGUAGAGUAACAUCAACUCUAUCUGUUUUCUGACCUCUGAGCAGAUCAACCUGCAAAAGAUUGACACAUGUUACGCUUACUUUUGUGCCAAAAAUAUGCAUAAUCAGAACAGAAACUGCGAAGGCUGGUUCUUUUAUUUGAACAUUUGUUACUACAUUUAACUCCCUUCAAAUAGAAAACGUAACACAAUCCCCGGUGUAUUACUUACCCUUUUGGCUGCUGUCUUGUCCUGGGAGCCAGUGUUAACCACAUAUCUGCAAGCAAAAUCAAGUUGAAGAAUGAGAACAAUAUUAAACAAGAAGACGACCACAUAUAUAUAUAUAUAUAUAUAUAUAUAUAUAUAUAUAUAUAUAUAUAAAGAAGGUGGUUUAGUUAUAUUGCAUACGUGUGUGUUGUUCCAAGUAGAGUCCCUGCAGCAAUUCUCUCUUGUUUUUCUUCAAGAACCUUUAAGAUAGGCAAAGACAAAAAACAUACAUCAGAAAUAGCUUUCUCAUCAAAAUGCUAAAAGUAUAGUUAAGUAUAAACAUGCAUGAAACUAACACAAUUUUGAAUAGUGAAACUCACUUGAUAAAGAGGCCUCUCAGGUUCCUUUCUCUGCUGCUUACGAAGGUCAAUAACAUCAGGAGUCUCAACUCCAGUUGGUGUGCUGCACAAGGAAAACCAAUUCAAUUCACUGAAUAAAAUCAUGUACCUUCAACAUGAUGAGAAAAAAGAAAAAGUAAUACUAGAUAGACAUUGGCAAAACAGUGUGCUUAAAAGUAAUGAAAUGGCCAGCCAUAUGAUUGCAAUAGCACACAAUCAUCGAAUCGUGAUUAACUACACAAUUGCACGCAUAGAAGGAACAGCUGGCAGCAUGAUGCUUAAGCACACAAUGACCUCGAUUAACAAACAAUAAACAUAAUUGCAAGGUGCACGCACUAGUAAACAUCAAAAAGUAAGGAUUUCAACCCAAUACCUUGAAAGGCUAUCAACAGAUUGAACACCAUCCUCCAACUCCUCUUCAUCAAGCUGUUCCUCCUCCUCUUCCUCCUCCUCCUCCUCCUCCUCCUCCUCUUCUUCUUCCUCCAAAUCACCCCAAUGCUUGGUCUUAUCAACUGGCUCCUCCUGCAUUGGGAUCCAACAGAUAUUAGAACUAGCAGCAAGUUAUACAAUCAGAAAUGAAUGAUGAUUCCAAAUUACAAAGGAGAAACUAAUUAGGGAAAGUACCUCAUAGUUGGGCUGAUCUUGUAUCUGAACCCCAAAAACAUCUCCAUAUAAAGGGCGCCCGUACUGUUCACAAUUGAUGGAAGUAAAUAAGAAAUGCAUUGAAAUAAUUUUGGGUGGACAAAUAGGGACAUAAUAUGAAACAUGUAAAUGUGUCGGAACAAGAAAAACAGCUUACUUCAUCAACAGGAGGCUUGCCCCAGCCACCAGCAUGAUAUCCAAAGCUAGCUCCAGGAGGAAUAGGAGCAUUAAGUCCAGGAAUUUUUAGAUGCGGAUAUGAUGGAGGAGGGCCAUAUCUCUAGAAGAGGCAAAUCAGUCAAUAUAAACAUUAGAAAUACAGGUAAAAAGUGAAAUGAGCACCACUACAGACAAGCAGUGAACUUCAACAUCAAGUACAGGAAGUUAUAGUCAAUCUGACCUGCAUAUUAAUAAGCCAGGGAGGAGGUGCACCCUCCGGCAUACCAAGAGCUUCUUUAAGUUCUUGUGAAAGACUGCCUGGCUUCAUCUCCCUAAGCUUUACCUGCACAUCAGAGGAAAAAUUAAAUCACAAAUGAAAUAUAUUACAUAAACGCCCUCAACAUGUUCAUUAUUUUGUAGCAAGCUUAAGCCCGUAAAAUGAAGAAAUUUAUCAUGUCAUCUCAUUUUUUGCUUUUAAGAUAAACAACCAUAAGUAAUGCAUCAAAACCAUGAGGUUUAAUUUUGUCCAAAGUAUGGAAGAUCAAAUCUGCCUCGCGAAACAAUCAAAUUUUAUAGUUUAUGCACAAGGUUUUUCAAGAGCCAACUUCAUAUGCCCUAUACUCGACUUUCAUACUGCACAAAUAUCUACAGAAACUGGUUAAUGAGCUUCAAAAUAUCUCCUUCAUCUUACUUCAAGUAGAAGAUUCUCUUACUGUAGUAUAAAAAUAAACAAAGUCACUGAUAUCAACAAAACAAUAAUAAACAUAGUCAUCUAAUUUUUUAACAUGAAAGAGAAACAUGCACGCAUAGAAGAAGCAUAGUAUAAAAAAAUACCUCAAACUCUUUUCCUUCAUGAUAUAAGUCACCAUGCAUGGUCAGCUUUGGCUUUGUUUGAUACUUGAAAAAAGCAUCAUGGAGAACCUAACAAACAAAAACCAAAAUGUAAACAGAAAAGCAAAAAUUGGCAGAGAAACAUCUCAAGGUCCUAAAAUGAAAGCAAAUGUAUAAAUGCAAUGAACCUGAUAGUCAAUAUCCAUUUUCCCCAUCUUUGGCUGCAUCCGCUCACGUUGCUUUUGUUUUAACUUCUUACCGUCUUCCUUUUCAAUGUAAGCCUGCACAAGUGAAGGUGAAUAACAAUUGCUGUAGAAUGAGAAGAGGGAUUCAAAACCCCUAGAAUCCAGUGGGCUAAACCCUUGAAAUCCACAAGGGAUGACUCCACAAGAAACUAGGAUUCUUAAAAUCCACAAGUAAAUAAAAUAUACAAAAAUUUACAAUUCAAUGGCAAUAUUAUUCAGAGAUGAUCUAUUCAAUAGAUUCCCUCAGCAAUAAUGAAAUUCCAAAAUUUAAUUUUCACAUGAAUAUCAAGCUAUUAACCAAUAGUGAUAGUUAAUUUGGAAAGUCAUCAUAUUAUCAUGUAUUCUAUAUGAAAUAUCUCAAAGGCAGUAUUGAUAUCAAGACCAAAUCAACAGUUCCCAUGGCUGGCAUUAUCAUGCCAUUUAACAAUUCGAAUAAUGAUAUAUUAGUUGAGAAAAAUUAAAUUUUCUUUUUUAAUCUCCAAUGGUCUCAAGUACAAUAAAGUAAAGAGAGGGUGGGAAAUCCCAUUGAUUUGCUGAAAAUGUUUUUAAUUGUUACACUGAGUGCAAGAAAAGAUCAAAAACUGUUGUGGUAUUAUGGAAAAACUGGAUCACUUGAGCAAGCAUCAAGUGAUCAAAAAGCCAAAGAAAGAUUUUUUUUUCUGAUGACAAGAGACUGUAUAUGAACAGAAAAGUGAGCAGCAAUGGUUAUUCUCAUCAUGACAAGCAUGAACAUGUGAAUAACUUGUAGCAUCAGAGCACCAGCAUGGUAUCAUGCAAGAACUACUGUUAAGAAGUCAUCAGAGAUCUGAUGAAAGGAUUCUUUUCAGACAAUUAAAAUAUGUACAAGUUCAAAAAAGCCCGCAGCAAUGAUACAUUCUUCAUCAUGACAAAUAUGAGCAUGUGAAACAUAAAUGCAUAAUUAUAAUAGUGAACACGUCAUAGCAAUGAAGUUACCUGUCUAAUUUUCUCAAUUCCUGUUGCAGCAAUAAAAUCAGGAAGUUGAAAAGGUUGCUUUUCAAUACCACGCUUACCCUGCAAAACCAAUCAAAACCCUGAUGAGAUGCCAACUUUGCAAAAAUAAGUGCUAUCAGAAUAAAUUGACAUCCAGUUCAGGUUAUUUCAUGCUAAAAAAUAAAUUGAAUAAAUAAAUAAAGUUAUACAAAUCUAGCCCCAGCAUUAAGCACAAUGGAAAGGCAUCUGAAAAUUCAAAAAAGAUUAAUUAGCACCUCAAUAGCAAGAAAAAAAUAUCCCCAUUCUGUAGCUUACAAAUAUAAGUCAAAAUCUUACUAGAAAAAUAAAAUUCCCUGACACAUGUAAUGUACAAAGAAACAUAUUAACUUGCAGAUCAGGCAGCAGGAGCAUUCCAUUUGGUUAUAACGUGUUAAAGAGUCUCAGAUGACCUAGAGGAGCAACCAGUUGUUAAUAAGAAUUUAAACAGAGGUUAAAUUUUUAAGUCCAAGGUUUGAAGGUUUGCUGAAUUUGAGAUAUUUCAUAAGAGCUAGAUCAUACUGAGACUCUUGACAUACCAUGGCCAGCAGGAACCUCCUGCUGCAUGGUCUUGCAAGAAAUUACAGUUCAUAUAGUAUCUAUGUCUCAAGUCGCACUAUAAUAUAUAUUAAAAGAGAAAUCACUUAAAGGUCCUGUUUGCCAAACACAUACAAGUCAGGGCUCCAUGAUUGUCACAGCCGCUCCCCUGCAAGAACCACAUGUAUACAUAUAAGAGAAACCUCAUCGAGCGUUAUCUUUCCUCACCCCAUCCCUAAACCUCUCAUGGUAUACCAUUCCCAUUUAUCAUGCAUAUUCUGAUCCAUUGAGCUCCUUUUACAAGAAUUACUAACCUGCAGAAACUUCCUUUUCUGGCACCAGUGUCUAGGAACAGGAACAGUAUUUCUGUACGACUUCAAAAACACUAAAAGCUUCGGAUCUGCAGAAGUUGCAUCCCAUACCUGAAAAGUGAAUAAUUUGGUGAAUAACCAAAAACUAAUGAAAGUAUACAUUAUGUAAUAACCAAACACAAAACGGAAAAAUAAUAAACCACUGAAACGUUAAAAAAGCAAUAGCACCUCGACAACAUCAGGUCUGGAGCAUAUCUGUUUCAAAUCAGCAAUUUUCAUCCGCCGUUGAAGCUGGAAAAAAACCACCAUUCAGUAAUGGGACAGCCACUAUUCAUUCUAUUAAUGCAAAAAAGCCAGCAACAAUAAUACUGCAUCGCUAUAAAAGCAAACCUUUUUCUUCUUGUUUGACACGCCUUUCUCCUUUUGUUCAUUAUCUUCUUCUUCUUCUGAAUCUGAAUCUGAGUCGGUUUUCUUCUUGGCAUCUGCAUUUUGGAUUGAUUCAUCCUUUUUAUCAUUCUCCUAUUUGAAUUAAGAGAACAUAGGAUUCAGAUAACCGUUCUUGUAAGGAGAAAAAUCAUGAAAUGGUAAUGCAUAAAUUGUCAAAAGAGAAAGGGAUAGAAAAGAAAAACCAAUCCUUUUACCUCAGAACCAGCACUUUGAAGGAAAUUGAACUUCUCAAAAACAUUCCUGAACUCAUCCAUGCCAUCUUCUAACUCUGCCUUUUCAGGGACAUACUCAAUUACAACUUGCUCCAUAACCUACAAGUUUGGACCAAAUAAGAAGUUGCUAAGUUAAAAUCUACACAUUAGAACUUGCAUUUUUACAGUGAGAUCAACAUAUAAACACACGGUUUUACUACAAUUUCAAAUUAACCUGUGCUCCAAAUUAACCAAGCAAUAGCAACGAUGGCAUUGAUUCAUAAAAACUCUGUCUAAUUAUACAAAGAACUGCCAAACAAACAGUGAAGCGAAACUCAGAGUGGCAACUUGAUUACAUUUCUAAGGACAACAGGCUACAGAAAAGAAUGAAACGGAGACAGUCAUAAACUCCAAGUUUUCUCCCAUUUGCUUAAAUCAGCAUUUACUGUUUUUAAGAUAACAUCAAAAUCAUUUUCAAAUUUUUAUUCUUGAUUUUAUUUACCCAAACCACCACAAUCAGUACCAUAAAUUCCCAAUAAUUACAAGUAAUUUUUCCCCAUUCUCAAAAAAGCUAAUCAAAGAGAGCAGCAUUAGCGGGAAAUCAUGCCAACAUAGACUAAAUAGAAUAUAAAACCCUAGCUUCAAAUCACCUAAACUACCAAAAGCAAAACCCUAACGUCUCAUUUCUAGAAUGGAGUAUAAAACCUUAAUUCGGAAAAUUCAUACAACAAUAAUAACCAACUCACACCACAAAAUCAACUACACUACCUCAAAUUCUUCAAUGAUUCAAACAAAUAGAUAGUGACAAUAGCAUUACCACCACAAGAAAACCCUAGAACUAAACUACGAACCUGUUGAGGAUCGGCGUUCUCCUUUGCAUCGCCACCAUCACCAUUGGCGGCGUCGCUGUCGUCUCCGUCUGCGGCGGCGGCUGAAGCGUCGGGUGCCUGAGACUUGUUCUUCUUCUGCUUGCGUCUGCGACGACGGCGUUCGCUCUCUUUGGAUUUCUUUGUAGAGUUAGGGUUAGUUGAGGCUAGAUCUCCAUUGGAGACUACGUGGUUUUGAUAUGGCAGAGUUUCUACGGUCAUGGUUUUCGUGUGAAUUAGAAAAAAAAUAAUCGAUUAAUUUUAAUGGCGAUAUUUAUCAGAAAAAGGAGUGUUUCCGGGAAUCUGGCUUCAGGAUGAUGGCGAAGGCGUAUAAAUAGGGCCUGUUAUCUUAUAUAUGGGCCUGGAUGCUUGGUUCAUUGGGCUCUUGGACGGAGCCUCGAGCCUGUUAAUGUAUGCCAACAUUUUGGCGGGAAGAAGGCGCCAUUUGGGACGCGGCCCAACCCCAAACGGCAUUUCACAAAAAUCUUAUUUUUUUAAAUUAAAAUUUUUAUAUUUUAAAAUUGUUUUUAUAUACUGAUAUAAAAAAUAAUUUUUAAAAAUUAAAAAAUAAAUAUUAUUUUAAUAUAUUUUUAAACAAAAAAUCCUUAAAAAAACUAUUACUGUGCUUUCAAACACUACUAUUAUUAGGAUUCAGUAUUAAUUUUAGUACUUAAACAUUGUAUUUUGCUAUCUCUUUGAAGUUGCUAUUUUGUUUGUAGGAUAAUAUUUUUAAAAGAUUCAUUUUAUAAUUAUAUAUAUUAUUAUUUUUUAAGACUUUUAUGAAAUGAUUGUAAAAAUUUAUUGCAUGGCAAUACUAAAGAAUAAGACGUGAAUUUACUUAAAGUAUAUUUAAAAUUUUCAAGAAAACAACAAAACUCAAAAAUAAAACUUUCCUAACUUAUAAACACACAAAAUAGGAGGAAAAAUAAACUCAUUAAUUUAAUCUAACCCUUUGAAAAUUGAUUGCAUAUAAUAAUUCCCAAUUUGGAUAGCAAGAUUCAUGCACACACUCCUCGAGAAACUUAAUAAUCUUCACACGACUUAAAUAUUCCCAUAUUAAAUUUAGUCUCGAUCUUAUAAAUUAAUUCUAUAAUUCACUCAUUCAAAACUUAAUAGAGUUUGAAUUUUAAUUUGAAUUAUUUUAAAUAUUGAAUUGAUUAAAUAUAAAAUCACUUCUUUUUUUAGUGUUUACAUUCAUAACCCUUCUUCUGGUUUCCUCUCAUUAAAUGGUUGCAUACACAUUUGCAAAAUAUGGAAGUUCUGGAUUCAUAAGUAUAUGACUUCAGAGAUCUUCAUAGUCAGGAGAUAGAUUGGCCAAAAGUUGGAAAAUCUUGUCUUCUUCAACUCGUUUCAAUAAUGUUGUAAGAUCAGUAGUGUGAGGUCUGUAAAUUGCUAGCUCAUUCCACAAGCUUUUCUUGCUUCCAAGAUAUUGAAUAAAAGAUUUACCUUCUUGUUGUAAUGAAAUAUCUUUCUUCAACUGAAACACAUGUGCAACAUUGUUUCAAUUCCCAUAAAUCUCCUUUACUGCCUCUCAUAGAUCUCUGCAAUAGAUUCUGAGCAACCGAAGAUUUCUGCAAUAUAUGGUUUCAUGAUAUUAAGCAGCUAUGAUUGACCCAUUUGAUCAUUCAAAAACCAAGAUUUAUAUUGGGUUGACUUAGAAGGAACAACUGAGGUUUCCAUUUCUUUUGACAAAAAAAAUUCUAUUUAAGCAAAUACGAGAAAAGAUAGGUGGAUGCUAACAUGCUCUGAUACCAUGUAAAAUGUCAAUCUUUCAUGCAUUGUUACACGUUGUUGUUGUUGUUGUUGUUGUGUGUGUGUGUGUGUGUGUGUGUGUAAAAGAUUGCAUUAUGGUCUUAGUUUAGAAUCAAGUAGAGGAUACGUAAUUACAUAUUCAAAUCUCUUAAAAUUAGGAAGAACCUAUUAAAUCUAUUGAUUCUGCAUCUGCUAAUUAUGCCAAGGAAUUUGACGGCAUCUGUCAAUUAUGUCAAGCAAUCUGCCAGAAUCUGCUAAUUAUCCCAAGUGAUUUGCAAUUGCCACUUUGCUUCUACUAAGAAAUCUGCUCCCGCCAAUAUUGUAUUCCACAGACAAAAGAGUGCAUACAUAGACGUUGGUGUAAAUUUGAUGGCAUUACUGUUAGGUUCUCCAGCAGUUUCUCUUCUUUUUCCUCCCAUGGGGUGUGCAAGUUCUCUGAUGUAAUAAAGGAAACUGAUACUUCUUGUUAGUUGAAAAAUGCAAAGAUAGCUGUGGCUUUUAUAAAGCCUUACAAAACAGAAAAAUCGAAAUACAAGGGAAAACAAAUCAAAACAGAAUUGAACUGAUCAACUCCUACAAACUAGCUUACUUGACAGGUUAAGCAACAAUUCCUGCCUAUUAUUCAGUUAUUACGUUGUAGACCAAAUCAAUAACGACCAAGUCAAUAAUUCCAACAAAUUCCUCCCCGUAAACUGAAAAUGCAUCAGUUUACUUCUUCAAGUCGUCGAACGCCAAGCCAACUUCUGAGUUGCACAAAUUGGUCCAACUUAAUUGGUUUAGUCAUUAUGUCUGCCACUUGAUCUUUAGUUCCAACAAAACUCAACCUCACAGCUCCUUCAGUUGACAGAUUGCGCAAGUAAUGAUAUCUAACAUCAAUGUGUUUUGUUCUUCGAUGCAUAACUGGAUUCUUUGACAACUUAAUGGCUGAACUAUUAUCACACAUGAUAUUGACGCACUCACAGUUUUUGACGCCUAGCUCCUGCAGAAUUCCUCUAAGCCAAACUCUAUGACAUGCACAUGCAGUGGCAGCCACAUAUUCAGCUUCUGUGGAUGAUAGAGUGACAAUUCCUUGCUUCCUUGAACUCCAACAUAUUGCUGCUCCACUUAGAAGAAAAACAUAGCCUGAAGUGCUUUUUCUAUCAUCUACAUCUCGCGCAUAGUCGCUGUCUGUGUAUCCUAGUAGAUUUCUGUCAUUCUCAUCUCCUAUAUAGUGGCUGUCUGUGUAUCCUAGCAGAUUUGUAUCUGUGCUCCUUUUGUAGUAGACUCCGAAAUCUAAAGAUAUCUUAGUACCCUCUUAGCAAUCAUCAUAAUCAUCAUAUGUUCUUUUUUAGGAUCAGCCAUAUAACGAGAAAUCAAACAUACCACAAACAUUAAAUCAGGACGAGUUACCGUUAGGUACAUUAGGCAACCUAUCAGCUGUUUAUACGGUGUUACAUCAACAUUUUUGCUGCCUAACUUUGACAAGACAGUGCUAGGAACUAUUGGAUUCUUUACAACAUUGCAGUUCCACAUAUUAAACCUUUCCAAGACUUCCUUAGCAUACUUUUUUUGGCAUAGAUGAAUUCCUUCCUUGUUUUGAUAGACUUCAACUCCAAGGAAAAACUUCAUUUUUCCCAAGUCUGUCAUCUCAAACUCCUUCUGCAUGGACGACUUAAAAUUUGUGCACAUAUGCUCAUCAUCUCCUGUGUAAAUCAAGUCAUCUACAUAAAGACUUACCAGCAACAAUUUAUCUCCAUUUUUCUUCAGGAACAAUGUGUGAUCAUAAUUGUUUUUCUCAAAUCCUUCCUUCUUAAAGUAGCUCUCAAUUCUGCUAAACCAGGCCCUUGGAGCUUGCUUUAAACCGUAGAGAACCUUCUUUAGUCGAUACACCUUAUUUUCUUGUCCUCUUAUGACAAAUCCUUCUGGUUGAUCAACAUAAAUCUCCUCCUUCAAUUCACCAUACAAGAAAGCACUCUUUACGUCAAGUUGAAAGAUGCACCAUCCACGUUGAGCUGCUAGUGCCAACAGAAUUCUGAUUGUAUCCCAUCGGGCUACUAGCGCAUACACUUCAUUGUAGUCAAUUCCUGCUUUCUGUGAGUAUCCUUUGGCGACGAGUCUAGCUUUACAUUUAUCUACUUUGCCUUCUUCAUUGAACUUUGUUUUGAAAACCCAUUUGACACCAAUUUUCCUUGCUUGAUGUGGCAGUGACACAAGCUCCCAGGUCUGAUUUCUUUCAAUAGCUUCUAUUUCAAGCUUCAUGGCCUCCUGCCACUUCUUUUCUUUCACCGCUUCAUCAAAAUGUAUUGGAUCAUUGUUGGAGAUGUGAAAGGCUAGGCUUUCGUCUGAUUCUUCUUCUUCAGGAAAACGAUUACCACUUUCAUAAUCACGCAUCCAAACAGGCUCUCUUCUUCUUCUUAUCUGUUGUGGAAUUCCAGAAUUUGAAGACUCCCCAAUUUCUGGAAUUACUUCUAAAUUGCUGUCUUCUGCUUCAUUAAAUUCUCCAUCAGUUUCUUCACCUUCAGACUCUUCUGUGGUAAUAUCAUCAUCAUCAUCUCCCCAAGCUAACUCAUUCUGCUCUGAUUCUGUUGUACUCAGGUUCCACUCCCAUUUUCCAUCUUCUUCGAAUAUGACAUCUCUGCUUAUGAUUAUUUUCUUUGUCACUGGAUUAUACAAACGGUAGGCUUUAGAUUCGUCACUGACUCCAAGUAAGAUGCAUUUGUGACUGCGAUCAUCAAGCUUAGUUCUCUUUUGUUCAGGGACAUGUACAUGUGCAAUAGAACCGAAUACUCUGAAGUAUUCUACAUCUGGUUUUACUCCUGUCCACCUCUCCUCAGGUACCAUGUCUUUGACUGCCUUUGUGUAACUGCGAUUUAAAACAUGGGUUGUCCAUCUAGCUGCUUCUGGCCAUAAAGAUUUCGGCAUCUCCUUCUCAGACAACAAGCAUCGUACCAUGUUCAUGAUGGUCCGAUUCCUUCGUUCCACAACUUCAUUUUGCUGGGGAGUGUAAGCUGCUGUUAGUUGUCGUUUUAUGCCAUUGUCUUGGCAGAAUUUAUUGAAUUCAUUUGAUGUGAAUUCUCCUCCCCUGUCAGUUCUGAAACCACAAAUGGUUGUUUUUGCUUCUUUUUCAGCAAAACGUUUGAAAAUUUUGAAUGUCUCAAAAUUUUCUGAUUUAUCUGCAAGAAAAUAAAUCCAUGUUUUUCGAGAGAAAUCAUCUACCAGCACCAACAAAUACCUCUUGCCACUGUGGGAGAUUGGGGUGAUUGGUCCACAAAGAUCUCCAUGAAUUAAUUUCAAUUUAUUCGAUGCUCUCCAUUUGCUUUUCUUUGGAAAUUCUUGACGUUGUUGCUUUCCCACAUUGCAUAUUUUGCAAACAUUGUAUGCUGCUCCUUUGAAUUUUGGCAGUCCUUUCACCAUUUGUUUCUGCUGCAUGGACUUGUUGUUUAGGUGCCCAUAUCUCCUGUGCCAGAAAAUCUCCAAGUCUUCUUCUUCCAUCUUCAAGCAGUUACCAGGCAAUGGCUUUAUCUUCGCAUAAACCAGGAACUUGCGAUUUGCAGUCAUUUGUGUAUUUAUUAUCAAGCCCCUUUGUUGAUGAUAAAUUCUGCAGGUUACUUCUUUGAUUAAGAUCACCAAGCGCUUCUCUUGUAGCUGGUCAAUGCUAAGCAAAUUGUUGGUGAGAUUGGGGAUAAAAUAUACAUUUGACACGGUUUGUGUGAUACCUUCCACCUCAAAUCUGACAUUGCCUUUUCCUUCAACUGCCAUUUUCGAACUAUUUCCCAAUCUGACAGAGUGUUUGAACUUUUCAUCAAGCUCAAUAAACCAAGUUUUAUCUCCUGUUAUAUGAUUUGAGCACCCGGAAUCGAGGAACCAAAUGCCCUUUCCUUCAGCUUUACUAGCUUCUGUGUGUGCCAUCAAAAGUAGUUCUUCCUCCUCGUCAAAUUCAGCAUAGUUGACGACUCCCUUUUCUGAGCUCGAGCAUUCAAAUUGAUAAUGUCCUUGCUUUCCACAUCGAAAGCAGUUAAUGGCUGACCUGUUGACAAAAGGUCUAGCUCUUCCCCGUCCUUUAGAGUGAAUUCUUCCUCUCUGAAAUAUCCCUCUGCCUCUUCCUUGUGCAUUCCUUGGCUCGUUCAUCACCUGUAGAACUUGCUCUUCGCUCCUCUUCUCAACCACCUUUUGUUCAUGUACAAGCAGAGAUGCUUGUAAUUCAUCUAUUGUGAGCUUGUCAAUGUCUUUUGAUUCCUCAAUUGAGCAUACUACGAAGUUGAAUUUUUCUGUGAGACUCCGAAGUAUUUUCUCAACGAUUUUGACAUCGGGCAUAUCUUCCUCGCAAUUCCUCAUGUCAUUAGCAAUAGACAUAACUCUUGCAAAAUACCCAGACACACCUUCUCCUGACUUCAUUUCUAGAGUCUCAAAUGUUCUGCGAAGUCGCUGCAGCUGAGCUCGCUUCACUCUAGCACUUCCCUGACACUUGACUUUCAUGGAAUCCCACAAUUGCUUGGCAGUCUCCUUCUGAGUGAUGGUUUUCAAUAUGCUCUUAUCUAUGGAUUGAAAUAGAUAAUUCUUUGCUUUGAGAUCCUUGAGUCUUGCGUCGUCGAUUGCUUUUUGUUGUGCUGCAUCUAUGACUUCAUUUCCCUUUGGUUCUUCGAAACCAGAUUGAAUAACGCUCCAAUACUCCUUAGAACGCAGGAGAUUUUCCAUGAUCAAGCUCCAGUGAUCAUAGUCUCCGUCGAAUUUUGGAACACAUGGUGUUGUGAAGCUUCCUGAAUCAGUUGCCAUUUUUCUGUUUUGUGUUUUUCCUCUCAAACACUCAAAUUGUAUGUUUCUUUUAUCAGGUCCGUGUAUGCUCUGAUACCAAAUAAAGGAAACUGAUACUUCUUAUUAGUUGAAAAAUGCAAAGAUAGUUGUGGCUUUUAUAAAGCCUUACAAAACAGAAAAAUCGAAAUACAAGGGAAAACAAAUCAAAACAGAAUUGAACUGAUCAACUCCUACAAACUAGCUUACUUGACAGGUUAAGCAACAAUUCCUGCCUAUUAUUCAGUUAUUACGUUGUAGACCAAAUCAAUAACGACCAAGUCAAUAAUUCCAACAUGUAAUUGCUGUGCAUGCUAAAAUGGUAAAUGUACGUUUUAUAUACUGAAACUAGCAAGAACAAUAUCCAAUUACUCUCUUAUCUUGAUCCUUUUGUUUGUUAUUAAAAGAAUAAGAAUAAUGCAUGAUUGAAAAUGCUCGAAAGUGAAAGGUCAUAAAAGCCACAUGCAGCCAGCGAGAACGAUGGAAAACAUCAAGACGGUCCAUCAAUUUUUACAUAAAUGCCCAUCAUUCAUGUUGAUGCAAACAUGAGCUACGUCCAAUCUAACCCUACAUGCAGACAUGGUUAAGACAUGAAGCUUCAUCUUUGCUAAUUCAUGGUGAAGUUCACAGGAGCCAUGUUAAAGGGUGAAAACAGAAAUAAUACAAAAUAUGUGGGCACAGCACGGACCGAUUUCUGUACAGGUUACUAUAGCCAUGUGCACCCAAUAUUAAACUAUUACACCGACUAACAACUGAGACGGGGUUCCAUGCAACAUGCGAGAUCAGCAAUUAAUCCAUCCAGACUUUGACAAUCACAUAAAGUCUAUUGCCUAGCAUGUUCAUCCUAAUUUUAGAUAGUUUCCUUGACUUCAAUUGACAAUGUUGUUAUUUAAACAUCCUUUCACAGUUCAAACUCAAUACCUUCUUUUGUUUUUCUCCAAGAAAAGAAAGAUUCCAUUGAAAUUAAGGGAAGCAACUCGAUCAUCGGUGGGCACAGCCAAAACCCAGAGUGAAUUAAGCACUUGCAGUCAUAUAGAAAAGAUCAAGUUCAUAAGGGUAACAAUCAGCAAGCAGCUUGUGUGUCACUAAUAGCUCCUAUUUGAUAGAUAGAUCACCUAAGUUUCAUGUGCAAAAACCAUCAAAUUUGCAUGAACUUGAUUGUCCACGAUGCAAGAACCCCAUGAUUAUAAAAAAAGAAAAGAAAAGAAAAACUAAAAUUGAUCAUGCCAUGUAACUAUAUUCUGGUGAAACAUAUGUUUAUGGCUCUAUCAUGUCAUGGAAUGACCAGGACUGGAUCUACUUAGCUGAGAAUUUAUUGAAAAUUAUGGUCUCUUGUCAUCAAAUUAGUGAUUUACAAUUCCCUUACUAUAUGGGAUUUGAAAGUAUGAAGUUCAAGAUAAUUGUUUAGUCAGCAGCUGUGGUAAAUGGUUUUUCAGGGAAAAGGAGAACAAAAAAAAUAAAUUUUCAAUGGCAUAGCAUAUGUCCCAGAAUGCUAUUGUAAAUCUACCUCAAAUAUGCAAAGUCUAAAGCAUAUGGAUCGGUGAUAAUCAAACAAAAAUAAAUAGGUGACGUGCAUGUGAGGCCAGAAAGUAGGUGCCCGUAUUAAUGGAGGCUGAAAAAUCACUUUCAAAACUUAUUUUAAUAGGCAUGGUCUUCGACCUGAUUACAUAUUCACAACUUCUGCUGACAAAUCAGAGUUACCUUCAAAGACUCAACCUUGCUUAAUACUUAAUGUCCAAAUGGUGUUAUUUUUUAUGCUGUGCAAGAAUAUGCAGCAAAUUACAUGACAAUCGAAAGGGUCAUAGCUCUUAAUGGAUAAUUUUUUCUCUAAGAAAUAGUGGAGUGAUUGGAUCGGUCCAUUAUCUACCAGGUCAACAAACCAAAACUAUUUAUUAGAGAAGAAAAUAGCAUUAAUUAAGCUAUUUCUGCACCUUAUCAUAAAUGCAAGGCGGCUGAAAAUCGCAGUAGAUACAGAAGGUUCUUAUUAGAUUCCAUUUUCAUAUCUUGGAAGAAGAUACACAUCAAAUAAAUAAUAAGAAAAAACCCGAUGGGUUCUUUCUUCAAACUUCAUCAACACUGUAAUGGUGGAAUGGAUUGAGUUAGUCCAUAACCACAGCAAGAAAUAAAUCUUCAACACUUCAACUUCCAUCAUUUUUUUCUAUGAUAAUUUACAAACUCGAGCUGGAAGAAUUGCAGAAGACACAACAAUCCAACAUUAUAUAAUUGAUUAUGCUUCCACUUUCCACUUUAAUCUCCCUGCUCUGCUUGUUCCAUAAGUGAACUGCAAAACUUUCACUUUUAAUCUGCUCAAGUUUUUCAUGCAACCAUGUAGAGUGAACCUUAUCUCUAGGCCCUCUAAAGAAACUUCUAAUUCGACUCCAAUCCACCGGAUAAAAUGCAGGAGGAGGCAGUACGGUGAAGUUAAACCCAGGCCUUCCAUUGACUCUCGAAACAACUCUUGAAACCAGAUAAGGACCAUUGUGACCCCACUUGUUUCCAUCAAAUGUGAGUGCAAAUUCUUCGAUGAAUUUGAAGAGUAAUGGAUGCUUCUUAUCAAAAAUCAACACAGCAUUAUUCAAUCUGCUCCAAUUCCUAGUUUCAAGAUCAAUAGUUUGUGCCCCUAUAACAUUUCUCAAUUUGGUAAAUCUCUUCAACACUAUCACAUCAGUGUCCAUAUAAAUACCACCAAACUUAUACAACAAAGCAAGCCUAAGCAAAUUAGACAUGUUUUGACCCAAAGAAACUUCUCCAGGGCUAACAUUCCCUUUCUUUAACCCUUUAAACCAUUUCUCAGCAUGAGUGUCCUUGAAUAAAUAAUCAAAAUCAGGCUUAAUAGCAAUCAAUUUAAACCGUUUAUCCAAAAAUGGCUUUAAAACAAGACUCCCACUUUCAGAAUCCAUGGAAUUAGAAACAAUAACCAAACAAGCAUCUGGAUGAGACCUGAACAAACUCUCAACAGAAAAACACUCUCUAUCACCAAACGACUUCAAAGAUGAAAUCCAAGUCAUAAAGAACCUAACCUUACAUCCAUGAUUCCCAAAGAAUUCUCUUACUCUUGUUGAGAACCGCUUUAAAUUGUCGGCAGACCUCAGCAUCCUCUUCACAGCUUCGUAUCCGUGAGUCUUAUUUGGCUUAAAAACCACAGAAUGGUUAAUUGGUAUCAUUGUAAUGGCUGGAUUUUGCAAAAGUGGCAAAAGGGUCUUUAAAAUCACGGGUGGGGUAUCUUCUUUCACUGCAUACAUCACUGAAGCUGGGAGCUUUUUAAAAGAAUUUUUAGCAAGAUUUCCCUGUGAGAAAUUGGCGGGUUCUGGCAGAGGAUUGGAGGGAAAGGGAAGGUGAAAGUAGAAAACAGUGAAACCAUUAUAAAUAAGUAGGAGAAAGAGUAUAAGAGCAAGAAGUGAAGUUGGUAUGCACAGGAGAAAGGCAAAGAUCGAUCUUUUUAUGUUUUGCAAGUGCUGCAUAUAGACUAGACAAUUCGGUUUAAGUUUGGUGAUGUGGUGAUGCAUGGUGUUCAUUAGCUAAAAUGUGGUUCUGGGUUUGGUUUUCUUGUUCAUUUGUGUGCUAAUGAGAAGCCUUAAGAGCUGCAGACAGAGAGAGAUAUUAAUGGAGAGUAAGUGAGACAGGGGAUUUUAAUGGAGGCGGCAAAAUAUCAAAAAGAUAAAUAUUUUUGAGUUAUGGGUUUUGGCAUUGGGAACCAAAAAGGAUAGUCUACAAGAAGUGGGAGUGGCCAGUUCACUUUGCACAAGGAGAAAAAGGUGAAUUGAGAGACAUAUAAAGAGAGAAAUGAAAGCUUGGCUUGGCUUGGCUUGAAAUUAGGCUCAUAUUUUGAAGUAGAACGAUGUGCUUUUUUUCCUUCUUUUUUUUUUAGGGUUUUUUUAUGUUUAUUUUCAUUUUGUUUGUUUGUUUUUGUAUUUUAAAAAAAUUAAUUUUUAUUUACUAAUAUCAAAAAUAAAAUUUAAAAAAUAAAAAAAAUUAUUUUAAUAUAUUUUUAAAUAAAAAAUAGUUUAAAAAAUAAUUGUUGUCACAAUACCAAAUUUAAAAUUGGUUAGUAUUGUACAAUUAUAAUCAUGAAACCGUAUAAAGAAAAAUUGUAAAUACUACAAGUUGUUGAAUUCAAAGGAUUUGUUUUUUAUUUUAUUUUAGACAAUAAUAUUCAAAGAAUUAAUUGAAUGUGAUUUAACUAUAACCACUGGAUUUGUAUUAAGAUUUUAAUUUAACAUUUUAAAGUGCUUAUAGAAAUACAUUAUAAAAAAUGAUGUCUUACAAUACAUAAUAUGCUUAGCUUUGAAUUUAUUUAAGUACAUCUUACAUGAUAUAACUUUACUUGAAGAACUCAAUGAAUCUCACUCAAUCUCAACUUGUAACUCCUUGAUUUUAUAUCUAUUCAUAUUCUUUUAAUUUUGCAAUUUUUCACUAAAAAAAUUCAAUGAAUCUCACUUAAUCUCAAUAAUAUAUAUAUAUUUUAUUUUUUAAAAUUUAUUUUUAAUAUCAACAUAUCAAAAUGAUUUUAAAAUAUAAAAAAUUAAUUUUUUUUACAAAAUUGUUUUUCAAGUCAUAAUCUAAUUAGACCCGUUUGUUUUUUCUGUUUCAAAAAUACUUUUGAAAAAAAUAAAAAAAAAAUUAUUUUUUUAUUUCAAAUUAUUUUUUUUUGUGUUUCCAGAUCGUUUUAAUAUACUGAUAUUAAAAAUAAUUUUAAAAAAUAAAAAAAUAUUAUUUUAAUUUAUUUUUAAUAAAAAAAACUUUUAAAAACAACUACUAUUAUACUCAUAAACCUUCCCUAAAAAUAAUUAGUCUACGGUCCCUGUCGUAUAAUUAUAGUUUGACCAAAAAGUUGGACUAACAGCUAUGGUGCGCGCGCGCGCUCUCUUUACUCUCAACAUAAUUUUAAGGCUGCGCCCUCAACGUUGACUUGGUGUAUUCAAUAGAACAAAUUCUUCUGUAUAAUAAACUCGAGGUUUGAGCUCAAAAGCCAAAACGUUAUUAAGCUAGAAACCUUUGUUUAUUUUUAUGUUUUAAAAAUAUUUUUAAAAAAUUUAAAUGUUUUUUAUUUUUUUCUUUAUUUUAAAUUAAUAUUUUUUUAUAAUUUUAGAUCAUUUUAAUGUGCUAAUAUCAAAUAAUAAUUUUUAAAAAAUAAAAAAAAUAUUAUUUUGAUGCAUUUCUAAGUUAAAAACACUUUAAAAAACAAUCGCAACCACACUCCAAACACGCAAGGAAGAUGUGUAAAACCUCCUUGACCACCAAGUAUUAUGUCCCUUAGAGUUACAACUAUGGUAUAUACACACAUGAUAAAAAUAAAAAUAAAUUUUGAUUUUCCUCUAAGGUUUGAGAAGUAUCUCAAUUUCAUCUCAAAACUUCAUUUUGUGUCAGUUAAUUUGUAUAAGAAUGAGAAAAUUAUUAAUUUCUAUUAAAAUUUACCAUGAUAAACAAAAUAAAGGUUAGAUAGUGAUCAAUAGUUAUGGAAUAUGGCAAAAAUAUUUCCUUUUGAAAAAUAAUGCUAUAUACAAAAGAAAUUAAAACAUUAUUAAUAAAAGAAUGAGAUAAAACAAAUUAUUGAUUUUGCUUUUUUACCAAAAAUUCUAUUAAAUUUUCAUUUUUUAAAUUCCUCUAUUUGAUCUUUUAUAUAUUGAUCUUUUAUGUAUUGAUCAAAGUAAAUUUAUUAUAUGAAAAAAAAGCUUGCAUACAUUUAAUAAGGGUAUUUUUAAAUAAACAUGCUUGAUUGAUAGCAUUUGAAAGCAUAAAAGUUAUAAUAAAAAAUAAAUGAUGUUUGAUUACGUGCAUGUUUGGCUUUAUUAUGUUUUUAAACCACAACUAGUUUUAGAUGAUUUUUUUUAAUCCAAAACAACAAUUAAUUUAUAUUAGAUGAAUAAUGCUAUGUUGCAUGUUCGCGCUAUUUGUUUUUUAAAAUGUUCAGGUGCUCAGAUACAUAUAAAAAAAAUCUAAUAACUCGUGUUAUCGUUUCGACUAGCCAAUUAACCCUAAAAAAACUUAUUCAAACCCAUUUACCUUUUUCUUUUCAAAAAAAAAAAACUAUUGUUACAUAUUUAUAAAAUAAAAAAGGAUUAACUUGGUUCAACUCACCUAACCCUAGAUAAUCUAAGUCAACCUAUAUCACUCGAGACUUACUUUGGAAUGAUCCCCAAGUCUAGUUCGAAAGUAUAUGAUAGAUAACUAAAAAAUCUAUAACAUGAGUUAUUAGAAUGGAAGUAUCGUACAUGGAAAAACAGAAAAGUUCAAUCUUCAACAAAUCAAAUGCUGAAGGAUGAAAUCGAAAAAAAAAAAUCAAUAACACGAAAGGAUCUAAAAAAAUAGCAAUAAAAGAAUAAGAGUGAAAAUUAAAAAUAAAAUGAGAAAAAUUAUUUGAUCAGAGGGUUAAAUUUUAAUUUCCCAGCAAAAUGAAUUUUUCAUUGCUAAGAAAAAACAUGAGGACCAAAUUAUAAUUAUAGCAUCGAUGGAGUUGAAUAAUCUCAUUUUAUUUUAAUGAGACAAUAAAAAAUUAACAAUGAUGGUAAAUGUGAAAAAAAACCCUUAGAAAAUAUGUGAUUGAAAAAAGAAACAAAAAAACUUUGUUUGAGUAUACCUAAGAUUACAUGGUAAACAUACAAGCUAAGUAAUAAAAGAAAAGUCAACUUGGAUUAAUUCUUGAAACCUAUAGCUCAAGUAGAGAUCAGAAUAACCUAACAAAUCACUUAUUCACAACCCUACUUGCCGGUUUGACCCUGUGACUUAGGUGAUUUGGGGCCUAGGUUGGGCUGGGUUCAAACAAUAAUAGGAGGACUGAACCAGUAUAAUUCAAUCAAGAAACAAGGUUGCCCCGCAACCUAAUAAACCAUAAAAAACCUAUCCAAAACCUUUUGAUUUUUUUUUUUUAUAAAAAUGAUGUGAUUUCUUUAUGUGUAUAAAAAAUUCAAGUUGACACAAGUCAAUUAAUUUGACCCAGACUAACCCAUUUAACUCUUGACCUAUGAUUUGUUCCAAGUCAACCCUAAUUGUGUUUCAAAGCUAUUCCAUUUUAUAUUUUAAAAGUAUAAUAAUAAAAUUUAACUAAAAUAUUUAUAAACACAAUGCAAUGAACAAUUUUCGAACAACUUUUUUUUUUCCCACGACACAAUGCCCACAACAAUAGCUAACAAGCUAAAAAUAUACUUCAUUUAUUAUAUUUGAGAGCACCGAGGCUCAAAUAAAAACAAAAAUAUAUAAAAAACUGAAACAAAAUUUUUUGAUCAUGUAUAGAUAUCACAUUUAUAAUUAUGUUUUUAAUAAAAAAAACUGAAACUUUUCAAUGAGUUCUUUGAACUUCUUCCUUGCUCAUAAUAUAUAUAUUCCAAGAAUCUCUUUUUACACAUAACAAUGGGAGAAUAGGUCGAACUAUCAAGUUUCAUUGACGGGAAAAUCAAGACUGCGAUCAAAUAUUAAAACCUCUUUUCAAUGAGAGAUCCAAAAACUUUAUUACUUGCAACACUAUUAUAAUUGUAAAUUCAUUUUACAAUCCAUCAUGGAUACUUGAACAAACCUAUAAUCGAUGCAAAUUAGGAAACAAAACUUCAGUGAUUGAUAGCAAGAAACCAAAAAAAACUCUUGAAUUUUUAGAUCACACAAAUCUAAAUUUUUUUUUACUUAGAUCCUGUUUGGAAACGCAGUCCAACCUGUGUUUUUAAAAAUUUUGAAAUUUUUAUUUUUUUUGCAUAAAAUUAAUAUUUUUUAGUUUUUUCGAAUCGUUUUGAUGCGCUGAUAUGAAAAAUAAUUUUUUAAAAUAAAAAAAUAUUAUCUUAAUGUAUUUCUAAGUGAAAAAUACUUUGAACUGCAACCGCUAUCACAAUACCAAACAGGCCAUUAACUCGUAAAGAUAUUAAAUCUAAUAACUAGCUAAAUUUAAGAUUAUUAAAAAUAAAUAAAUUAUUAAAAAAGUAAGCAGAGAGAAAGAGGAGUUCCCGUGAUGUAAUUUUCACCAAUAAUUGCCCAAAAGGAUUUUUUAUUUGAAUAAGAGUGAAAAUUAAAAAUAAAAUGAGAAAAAUUAUUUGAUCAGAGGGUUAAAUUUUAAUUUCCCAGCAAAAUGAAUUUUUCAUUGCUAAGUUUAUAUAUAUAUAUAUAUAUAUAUAUAAGGAAGGACAUGAAAGUAAUUGUAGUCAUUAUGCUGGCACGUGACGCUGCCAGCGGAAAUUGAACUUAGCAAUGAAAUCUUGAUUUUUAUUAAAAAAAACCUUAGUUUGCAAUAUAAGUAUUUAGUGGGAAAUGAAAUCUUGGAUUAUAAUACAAGGAUUUUGUUUGGUAAUUAAGUUUUCUUUAACCUUCUCUCUCUCUCUCUCUCUCUCUAUAUAUAUAUAUAUAUAUAGACGCACACACUUUCUUUAAGCUUGAGUUAAAUCUACUCCCCGAGACGACACUUCUUUUUGACAACUGUAAUCUUCUUCCUCCUCCUUAUCAACUUAUUAAUUCAUCUCCUUGCAAAUCGGUAUUCUUGAAGGGUAAAUUAAUCUUACCCUCCAUCAAAUAAAUAUUAUUUCUUUUCUCUCUUCCAUUUUUUACCAAAAUACGCAUGGAAUUUAUUUUUAGUUAUCUCGUACUAAUAUUUUUUUAAUAAUUUAAUAAUUCCUUUCUUUCUUUCCACCAACAUAAAUUAACCCAAUACUAUAUAAUCCAUCUCUAUUUUUUUUACUUUAAACCUAUAAUCAAACACCACCUUCGCAGAACCUUGUCGUUAGAGCUUAGAGCUGGUUAUGGGUUGGUAAUGGAGCUUCUGGCUUCUGGCUUCGGACUUCAGACAUAAGAUAUUCAAGGCCCGAUGAAUAAAAGAUGUCAGGCUCGGUCCAAAGAGCUGCAAAUUAGACAAGAAAAAAAGGCAAGCUUUUCUCCACAAGUACAUGUGUCUUACCCAGCCAUGGUUGUGCUGCUUGACAAUGUGUCGAGCUACAUGUUGGAUCCGACAUUGGCCAAACACAGCCAUGGUUGCUAUACCUUGUGCUCGGGUUUGGCAGUACGUUAGGCCAGGUGCAACUUGGAUUUGAUAUCUAUCAAACCUAGUUCUUUGUGUCUACCAAACCUAGCAACGGAGUGGGCCUGAUUCGUGUUUUCUGAAAGUAUUGAGCUUGGAAUUUUUUGUUACUGGGCAUGCAUGACCGAAUUUGCUACACUACAUAUUCAAGUGUAAUACCGAAAUUUAACACUAUUAAUUUUAUAAAUUUUUAUAUAAAAUUGUAGAUAAAUUAUUUUUUAAUAAAUAAAUUUAAUUAACAAGUUUACACUUUCUCAGCAUAUAUUAAAAUCUUUCAUGCCUCUCUUGCUUUUAUUUUUUAGCCGGAUAAAAUGGCUUAAAUGCAAUUCAAAAUAUUACAAAGAUAAAAUUAUAUUUUUUAUUUACAAAAAAAUAAAAUUCAUGAAUUAUAAAUGUAUCAUGAGAUAUUAAAAAAAAAAUUCACAAUUUUUAUUUUUUAUUCUAUUGUAUAUAUAUUUUUUAGAAUAUUUUUCUAUAAAAUAUUAUUGUAUUUUUUUUAAAAAAAUAUUUAUUUUUAAAUUAUUUUUCUGUAGAAUAUUUUUUAUGACACAUAAUCAAUGUCUACCUAGCUAUAGAAAGCGAGAAAAAUUAACUUGUUUCCACGGACACACAUUUCGUAAGAAUAUUAACAACUUAUUAGUUAGGUGUAAUUCAUCACCCAGGCCGUGUUGACGACCCGAGAGAGAGAGAAUGACAGGGCCAAGGAAAAUGUUUAGCUCAGUAUUCAUGAUGGUGAUCCCAUGGAGGAUCCGCAUAUCUACAGACAGACCGUGAGUUUUCUCCAGUAUGCUUAUCUCAAACGGCCUGACUUAGCUUUCUUUGUCAAUAAGUUAUGUCAAAUCAUGGCUCUCCUCAACACUCUGGCAGGCUUGCAAAUCUGUACAACAGUAUAUCACGACAGUACCUUGCACGAAGGUCUCAUCUUCACUCCCUAGUCCACAAACGAGACCUGAGGUCUAUAGUGACGCAGAUGACCGCGCUGCACUGGUGAAUAUGGAGUUUACUUGGGCAGAAAUACUGUUUCUUGGCCAGCAAAGAGGCAACCUACUGCUGCUCGUUCACCUACAGAGAAGCAGAACAUAGAGCAGUUGCUAAUGUUAUUGCUGAGCUAAUUUGGAUUCGUUCCUUACUUCAAGAAUUGGGAUAACAUGUUAGUCAACCAGCCAUCAUCUGAUGUGACAAUGUUGGAGCAGCAUAAACAUACGGAAUACAGACAGUUGAGCUUCUCUCCAGCUUUAUUUCUUCCUCUGCUAACUUUAUCAUAUCAUUAUUAAUAACACAAACAACAAACGUAAUUAAGAUCUUGACAGGUAUCCACCACAAGGCAUUAAGAUAAUAAUUGUACUUGCAUCCAAGUUAAUUUCGAGGCGUUCACGUGGGAAUCAUAAGUGAUGCACUCGUUCGUCUCUACAGCAGUUGCGAUGAAUGAUUACAGCAGUCGAUCUCAUGAAUCCAUCCCUUUUGGCCUGGAUUGUUAGUGGAGAUCCAUGAAUGCAUCUUUUGUUCCAUUUUCAUGGAGUACUUCUAAUUUACCUUCAUUUAUAUGGCUUCAAUUUUUAAUUAUUUGUAAAACAGAUACUCUAUUCAUGGUUUAUGUGAUUCAUUUAUAUAUAUAUAUAUAUAUAUAUAUAUAUAUAUAUAUAUAUAUAUAUAUAUAUAUUGAUUAUUUUUAUUUAUCUUCACCCCCGUCUCCAUGAAAAUAAAAUUUCUCCCAUAUCCACCUCCAAUCAAAUAAUGCAACGAACCUCCAUGGAGGCAUAUUUAUGUAAUUAACAUCUCAAAUAGAACAAAGUGAAUCCUCAUUAUCAUAAUUGUAGAAUCUAAUUUAAAAACUAACCCUGAAAAAGAAUUUGAGUUACUGGUUCACGAGGUCAAUUGUUUUUAUUAAAAUAAUUAUAUUUCAAAUAUUUUUUUAAUGUUAAUUCAAUUAGAUUUAGAUUAACUUUGAUCAAAUUAACUAGAUUAUAAAAAAUAUAGUCGGAUCAAUCAUGCUUUAUAAGAUUACUGUUUUGUUUGAUUUAGUUCAAUUAAAAAUUUUAAUUGGUUAAGCUUUAAAUUCUAGAUUUUCCAAGUUAAUCCUUUAAAUAAAGCCGAGUUUAACAAUUAUGAUGAAUGGUGAUUGAUUCACUAUGAAAGAGAUAAAGCAUCAAAGUGAAAGUUGUAAAGCAAGAUAAAAAGAAAGAAAAGCGCAUCAAAGAAAGUUGAACCAUGCCAGUUAUGAUUCUUUAAAUGUCUAUAAUGUUCAUAGACAUGCCAUCAUUGCUGCUGCUUAAGACUAUUUCUUUCCUUGGUCAAAAAAGAAAAAGGAACGAAAAUAAGAAAUCUGCAUCCUUAUCAAGCAGACAAACUUAAUUGGUCAUCUUAAGCAGUAUCAGCAAAUAGCCUACCAUUUUGAUGGCUGUUUCACCUGAAUACAUGCCAGAAAAUCCCAUUGAUUUUCGUGCUCCGCCGCCCUCUCCUAUCGCCUCUGGCCGAAGAUCAUCCGUCACCAAUGAUGGAGUUCUCAAUGAAUUUCUUGAGCACUCUCUACGUGUUCCGGAUUUGAUUUUACCUGACAAUUUCUUUCCAAAACAAAAAAUUGUUGAAACACCUCCAAGAAUCGAUUGUCAAUCACUGAAUUCUAAGGAAAGUAAUUCAGUUCUCAAGACAUUGGAUUCAAUAGCAAGAAUCGGGUGCUUCCAACUAGUUAACUUUGGAAUUCCAAGUGAGUUUAUAAAGUUGGUGUCGGUCAUGGCAGCAGGAAUCUUUCAGCUUCCUUCUGAAAAGAAGGCGGCGGUGAUGAAGUCACCAGAGAAGCCUUAUGGAUUCGAGGAAGUUCAUCGCGAUCAAGAGGCCGAGAAUGAAUUAAGUGAAGAGUUUGUGUGGAGUAAAGAUGAGAGUUUGAAAUUGGAUAUGGAGAGAAUAUGGCCAACUGGGUAUUCAAAUUUCAGGUAAUAAUUUACGCAAAAAAUAUAUAGUCUUCAUAUUUUGUUCUUCUUUGAAAGUGGUAUUAUCAAUCUGUUCUUGCGUACGUGUUGUUGUGUGUGAAUUGUUGUUGUCUGCAUUAAUUGCCGUUACUGUUAAAAAUCGAGGCAUGCUUCAGCAACGUUGCAUGGCUGUAGGUGAAUAGUAAUCUCUGAGUUUGGUAAUUAACCUGCACCAAAAAUUGUUCUAAUGAUCUUCUUAAUUGAUGUUCAUCCUUUUUUUUCUUCCUUUUGGAGAUUUUUUUGGUGAAUUCUUGAAGGUUUUUUUUUGUUAUACAUUACAAUAAUGUUCGAAUACAAGUCUGGACUGCUGGUUUCAGUCUCCCAAUACAAGUGCCAAUCUUAACAUCUCUUCAAAAAUGAAUACUGGUGUGUCGUACGUGAACUAUGAUGAAGCUACAUCUUAUGCCCAAGUUCUCAUAAUUCGCAGCGAGAAAAUGGAGACCCUUUCGUCAGAUUUAGGGAAUUUGGCUGCGAAGAUUCUCCAAGUUCUCCAAGAAAAUUGUCCGAGAAAAUCAAAGUAUGCAAAUGAUAUGAUGCAGAGGCAAGAUCUCAUUGGCCCAGUCUGUUGCCUUUACAAGCAUAGACGUGACAUUCCAGCUGAUCGACUGGCUAGCUACUUGGGAUAUGAUGUGUUCAGCAUGCUAAUUAGGGGAACUGACUACUCCCAUGCCUUGUGUUUGCAUUUAUGUGAUGCAUCAUCGCAAUUUCAUGUUUACUCCAAGAAAGGUUGGGUGUCUUUCUGCCCAGAUAAAGAUGCGUUGAUUGUCACAGUUGGAGAUCAAACACAGGUAUUACAAAAAUUGCUUAAAAAAAGUAGAAUAAUUACCCUAGCUUUUUGUCCAGUACUACAUCAAUUUGUUUAACCUAAAAAGAUUCAUAGCAUAUGAUAUCAAAAGCAUCUAUGCCCUCUUUACAACUGUGAUAGUAAUGAUAUGGUAUGUGUGGAAAUUAAACUCAACAUCAUGAACAUAAUCAUAAACAACCUCUAAUCAAAGAUUAAUUCCUUUACCUUUAAUUAUCAUUAUGUUUCCUUUAUAUCCAAUGACAGCGAUUUUGAUGUGCUCUAAUCAUAUCAUGGGAGAUACUGUAAACUAAACAAGUUUAUGGAGAAGAUGAUAACAAAACGUUCCAUAUUCUGCCAUCCAUGUACGUAUUGAUAGCCUCUCUUCUCUUAUACAGGCUUGGAGUGGUGGCCAGUACAAGCAAGUUCUAGGAAGACCUAUCUUUAAAGGAGAGGAUGAGGACAAUAUUUCAAUGGCUUUUCUCUAUUCUCCUCCAAACACCAUUAUUUGCUGCUCCAAAACCACAAAGGGAAAGACUCUUUCCCUUGGCCAGCAAGCUAUAUUGGCUAUAAUUUUGACUCUGGUGUACCAUUUAUUAGUUUAUUUUUACAAGAAACUUUGAUGCUCUCAAAUGGAUUCAUCAACUAAUAAGAAUAUACGUAUUCAUAUUAUUAUUAUUAUUAUUAUCAUUGUAAUGGCUAUCAUUUUAUUUUUGUUGUUGUUAGAAUGUUAAGCUAUUUAUAAUAUUAUAGAGAUUGAAUAUACAAACUGUUUAUAAUAAAUAGUGAUUGUACAACAUGAAUCCUAAUACAAUUCAUAUUUUCUUUUCACAUAUGCCUUCUCCUGAAUCAUUUGUAUGAAUUAGAACACUAAAUGUAGUGCAACAUUCACCGACAAUAUUAAUCUGCUAAAGUAUUUUGUUUUGAAUAGAACUUCUCGUGAAACAAUAACUUGAAUCUUUAUUUUCUUGGUUAAUGAUUAAUUUCAGCCAUCACUUCUCAUAAUCAAUUGUACAUCAUGAAUCAUAUCCAAAAAUAAUUAUUUUUUGUUCGGUUCAGUUUUUAACAAAAAAAAAAUAAUCAAAUCAUUUUUUUUAAAAAAACCAAAACCGGUUCAAACCGACCGGUUUCUGUUCGGUUCAGUUUUUUAGAACAAAAAUCGGUUGAAACUGGUUUGGCUGAGUUUUUUCUGGUUUGGCUCGUUUUGUUCGGUUCGGUUCUAGACUUGUAAAACCGGAACCGAACCAGUCGGUUUUUUCAAAAUUCUAAUCGGUUUAAUUGGUUUUUUUUUCACGGUUUGGUCUUUUCAGUUAUUUUUUUCCGGUUUUCUCGGUUUAAUCGGUUUUUUGGUUUUUUUCUCACCCCUAUAUUGUACAAUUCAUAUUUUCUAUUCAUUGAUGCCUCCUCCUGCCAUUUGUAAGUAUUAGAACACUAAUUAUACUGUAACAUUAGCCAACAUUAAUCUGGUAAAAACUUUUGUUUUGAACAGGAUUUAUCGUCAAACAAUAACUCGAAAUAUCCUCGUCUUCUUGGUUACUGAUGAAUUUCAACUAUCACCGGUCUUAAUCAAUAUAUUUUGUAUAAACAUAGGGCAAAAUUAUCCUCACCAGAAGUUAUUCAUAACCUAGCUAACCAUUAAACGUGUUGGCUUCACGUUCCAUUUUGUUGCCAUAAACUCAUGAUUUCAAAAGGAUCUAAGCCUGAAAAACAUUACCAAACAGAUUAAAUUCACUAAAUCUUGCACUCAAAUACGAACAAUGGUAAUUCUAAUGACCGUUUCCCUCAAUCAGCAUAACAUCCCUCUAGAUAUGUCAUUAAAAUCAAUCAAAAACACUCGGCUUCUAUGGAAAAGCCUUCAUAAAGAAAGGGAGUUCGAGAGGAGAGGGAAGUCCACCCCUCUAGAUGGAGGAUCAAACCAUAGUAUUUUUUUUUUCUAGAAAUUAGAAGAGCUAUAUGAUAUUUUAUAUUUAAUUUUGAAUCAAAGGAUAAGUAUUUGGGUUUAAAAAAAAACUUGAGGUUUUCGGAUUUUGUUUUUUUUCUUAUUUUGAAUUUUAAUUUAUCAGUUUUGAUUUAUAUUUAAACAUAGGUUUCUUUGGUAUAAAUCUAAUUUAUAUAUCAAAUACUUUCUAGAAGUAGAAAAUAAUUAAAAUAAAAUAAAUUAAUAUAAAUCAACACUCAAUAAAGGAAUUUAGUUUCUUGAAAAAGAGAAGAAGAAAAUCAACUCAAAUAAAUUUGCAACAAAUAAAUAAAAAAAAUAAAAAAAAUAAAGAACAACAACAAAUAAAUAAAUCAACUAAAAACAAUUUCCACCUAAUCUAGAAAACCUAUUCCAGAACCCAUAAUCCAGCAACAAAUAAAUUCAUUUAAUUGAAACUAAACAAUAAAAUUAACUAAUAAUAAUUAAAAUUAAUCCUAUACAUUUAAUUGAAAUUGAACAAAAAUUUUUUUUAAAAAAAUCCAACUAAAAUUCAAUAAAAUUGUUUUUAUAUGAACAAAAUUUUUACAAUAACAUUCAUACAAUUAUUAAGAACAUAAAAAAUAAAACAAUAUUAAGAAAACAAAUAUAAUGAAAAAAAACACAAAAAAGAGAAGAAAAACAAAAUCUUACCUUAAUUUCAUUGCGAGUGAAGCUGAGAAGAGAAAAAAAACAAAUUCAUAAAGUAUGUUAAUUAAAAAAAAUCUAAAAAAAUAAAAGAAGAAGAGAGGAGAGGACAUACUUGCAUGUGAAGGAGAAGAGAAAGAAAGAGAGGGA